CCCUUAGAUGUUCUGGGCCGCACGCGCGCUACACUGACGAAGUCAGCGAGCAUCUCCUUCGCCGAAAGGUGCGGGGAAUCUUGUGAAACUUUGUCGUGCUGGGGAUUGAUUUUUGAAAUUCUUGAUCAUCAACGAGGAAUUCCUAGUAAGCGCAAGUCAGCAGCUUGCGUUGAUUACGUCCCUGCCCUUUGUACACACCGCCCGUCGCACCUACCGAUUGGAUGGUCCGGUGAAGCCUCGGGAUUGUGGUUCUUGCCGCUUUAUUGUGGCGUGACCGCGAGAACUUGUCUAAACCUUAUCAUCUAGAGGAAGGUGAAGUCGUAACA
rnacentral:rRNA from 1 species